AGAAUGAACGCUGGCGGCAUGCCUAACACAUGCAAGUCGAACGAAGCCUUCGGGCUUAGUGGCGCACGGGUGCGUAACGCGUGGGAAUCUGCCCUUGGGUUCGGAAUAACAGCGAGAAAUUGCUGCUAAUACCGGAUGAUGACGUAAGUCCAAAGAUUUAUCGCCCAAGGAUGAGCCCGCGUAGGAUUAGCUAGUUGGUGAGGUAAAGGCUCACCAAGGCGACGAUCCUUAGCUGGUCUGAGAGGAUGAUCAGCCACACUGGGACUGAGACACGGCCCAGACUCCUACGGGAGGCAGCAGUGGGGAAUAUUGGACAAUGGGCGAAAGCCUGAUCCAGCAAUGCCGCGUGAGUGAUGAAGGCCUUAGGGUUGUAAAGCUCUUUUACCCGGGAUGAUAAUGACAGUACCGGGAGAAUAAGCUCCGGCUAACUCCGCGCCAGCAGCCGC
rnacentral:rRNA from 1 species